rnacentral:misc_RNA from 1 species
CUGCAGCCCGGCCUGAGUGUAGCUCUUUUUCUUUUUAUUAAAAGAAAAAAGCGGGAACGGAGGACGGAUAAAGC